UGAGCUUCACUCUAUGGAUCCGAGGGUCUCU
rnacentral:piRNA from 1 species